rnacentral:rRNA from 1 species
AACGAACGCUGGCGGCAUGCCUAACACAUGCAAGUCGAACGAAACCUUCGGGUCUAGUGGCGCCCGGGUUCGUCACGCGAGGGAACCUGCCCUCAUGUUUGGAAUAACUCAGAGAAAUUUGAGCCAAUACCGGACGAUGUCUUCGGACCAAGGAUUUAUUGACCUUCGUUGGGCCCUCGUUGGAUUCGCUUGUUCGUGGGCUAAUAGCUUACUAAGGCGCCGAUUCAUAGCUGGUCUGUGAGAAUGAUCAGCCACACUGGGACUGAGACGCGGCCCGGAAUCCUACGGGAGGCAGGAAUGCGGGAUAGUGCAAAGUCGGCGGAGGCAUGAUCCAGCACGGACGCGUAAGUGAUGUAAGCCUUAGAGAAGUAAAGCUCUUUUACCCGAGAUGAUAUUGACGGUAUCGGGAGAAUAAGCCCCGGCUAACUCCGUG